UACGAAGGGGGCUAGCGUUGCUCGGAAUCACUGGGCGUAAAGGGUGCGUAGGCGGGUCUUUAAGUCAGGGGGGAAAUCCUGGAGCUCAACUCCAGAACUGCCUUUGAUACUGAAGAUCUUGAGUUCGGGAGAGGUGAGUGGAACUGCGAGUGUAGAGGUGAAAUUCGUAGAUAUUCGCAAGAACACCAGUGGCGAAGGCGGCUCACUGGCCCGAUACUGACGCUCAUGUACGAAAGCGUGGGGAGCAAACAGG
rnacentral:rRNA from 1 species